rnacentral:sRNA from 1 species
ACCACGUGAUGGACACUGACGAAAACGUU